UCGGAAAGUUCUUCUCAUUGGGGCAGAGAAGAUUCUUCCUCCGGACGGCAGUGCUGGCCAUCCACGACCCCCUGCUGCGUGUCAGCCAGGCUGGGCUGCGCCUCACCUACUCCCUCCUGGGAGAAGCCCAGCAGCUGAUGGGGGACAAGCAGGAGGACGUCAUGGCCAAUGUGAUGCACCAGCUCCACAUCAUCCAGCACUUGCACCAGGUGUCUGAGGUGCAGGGGCUCUGCCACUGAGGCCACCAGCAACUCCCGCUCCAUGCUUCAGGUACUGCUCUGGCUCCCUGUAAAUGGGGAGUGUAGUGAGUCUGAGUGGCUUCCCUCCGAGCGGGAGAGCAAGGGACCCCUACAUGCCCCUUGGAGGGUGGAGCUUAGAUCACCCCACCCCCCUCACCGGAAGGACCGGGGCAUGGCCAGAAGUAGAAAAGGCCGCCCCUGCAGCACAGUUUGGGGAGAACCUGCAACAGAGGAGGAUGCUUGGCCUGUUCUCCAGAGGCCCUGAGAGGAACCUGUGCCUGGCUGUUCCCGAUCCCCAGGCAUGGACAAGGACUAGCCCAGAGUAGCUGCUGUGGUUUACCCCGAGGAGCCGGAAGAGGCCUGGAGGCUGCAGGUACCAAACUCCAGGGAGGCAGGAAGUAGCCUGGGGGUAGCCCUGGAGCAGCCAGCUGCAGAGCCCAGCGUGGCUCAGACGGCGUGCUGCGGCUGGAUCCCUGCUGAUGCAGGGGCAGCAGCCAAUCCUGCCUCUGCCAGCGCCCUGGGCUGGGACGCGGUGGAGUAGGGUGGGCCUGUGUCCCCCUGCCACCCUACCACAGGUGGCUGACCCCCUACGUGGUACAAGGAGGCUCAAGCCCAGGACAGAAGCUUCCUUAUCACUCACCUGGAGGACUGUUUGCUGGCUGCCUGAGCCCUACUCAGGGUAGAGCCAGCCCUGUCAAGACUGUUUGUUUGUGAGCUGCUUGGGCCCCGCCCAGGCCAGAGCCACCCCUGAUAGACUGUGUUGAGAGGCUGACCACUUGAGCGACCCUAGCCCAGGUCGCAGCCUGGUAGCGACAGUUGAUCGCCCAGCCCUAUUGUGGGCCCCUGGCUACCCUGCACACUCUGGUCCGGACCAGACUGGGCCAGCCGGAGUGGCCUCCCUCUGAGCGGGAGAGCAAAGGAAGGGGAAAUGGAGCCCUUUGGCACUCACAGAAACUCUCUCCCCUCUCUGUGGAGCAGGGUCCUUCCCUCUGCCCCCCAAAUUCCUUCAUCUGGGGCAGGAGCUCUUUCCCUCACACCCACUCCCCUCCCCCCCUUUCCUUGGUCUACCCCCAUCCCAUUCCCCCUGCGCCCAGGCAGAGCUCUCCCUACCCCAUAUGGUGCAGAAAGGCCCUUUUGUCAGGGUCACAGCUCCAGCCCCACUGAAGCUCGGAAAGCUCCACUUUUGAGGAAGUGGAGGUGGGACAGAGGCUCAGGGCUAGCUUCAUCUCCUGCCCUUUAUUCUCCUCUUGGCCCUUCUAUGGGGGUCUCUGGAUGUGAAAAGAAUAGGAGCCUCCUUCCCAGCUGUCUUCCAGGCCCUGGGAUCUGGGACAGCUUCCCAGAUGGACAGGAGGGAUAGCUCAGUGGUUUGAGCAUUGGCCUGCUAAACCCAGGGUUGUGAGUUCAAUCCUUGAGGGGGCCAUUUGGGGAUUGGUCCUGCUUUGAGCAGGGAGUUGGACUAGAUGAUCUCCUGAGGUCCCUUCCAACCCUAAUAAUCUAUGAUUCUAUGAUCUUGUAAGGGAGCAGUGGGGACAGGUUACCUUGUCCCAUCCAAGCAAGCAAUGCUGGCCCUCAAAGAGGCUUAGAUGGAAGACCCCACUGUCUCGUGGAGGAAGGGGCUCCCCAGAGACGUCCUUGAAUCUGGAUUCCUGAGAGCGUUUCUGGCAGGAGGCUCCAGCCCUCGGGCAUGAGAAAGCAUCAGGCAGUCUCAAUCACAUGGCAGUUCCACUUCCCGCAGCAGGGCAAACCAACCCAUCAGCUCCCGGAAUCACAACUCUUUGACUUCCUUCCGCUCAUCAGUGAGGUUUCUCCAGCACUCUCACCAAACCUGUCAGCCUAUGAAUGAUGAAGGGCCUGAAUGUCAGAGUCACCAGAACAAGCAAACUCCAGUUCCAGGCAGUGGGGCCUGUGUGUACUCAACCCCCUAGAAACCGGGUCUGAAAUGGGGAGCAAGGACCCCUGGCCAGUAACAGUAGGAGUGGCAGAGCAGGCCUGUAAAAGGGUGCUUUCCCCUGGACUGCACAGCCUGGGGCCUAGCCAGCUGAUUAUAGAAUGAGCCCUAACUGAGAGGCAAAAGUGGUGAGAGGCCUGUGGGUGCAGGCUGUACAAGUGCAUAGCCGGUGACAGCGACGAGAUGAUGAGGGAUGAAGCUUGGACAAGAAUAGUACUUGCCCCUCGUGUUUGCCAGUUUCUAAGGAGGAGCGUAUAUGACAGGGGAGCUUAGUCUCUGAGCAAUAAAGCCUGGAGAUAGGUCAAAUGGAUUACAGAGUGAGCUCCACCUGAGGGGAAAGCCAGGGAAAACCGCAACAAAGGUACAGGAGCAGGCCUAGCUGUUUGGUAGAGGGCCUUGAGGCAGAACCUAGAAUCCAGGGUAGGACUGGUUCUCCCAUGGUCUCUAAGGAAGGGGACGUACAAGGCCAGAGAAAGGGCUACCAAAGUCAGCAAGGGCAGACCAAGCCAAAGUCAGGCUGAGGAAAACCCCGAAGGGACGGAGGACCUUGUUUCGGUUAAAGACAUUCUUGGACUUUUCUUUUGGGAUGAGCGCGACCCAGGAAGGAGUGGAAUAAAAGAUGGUCACCUGGCCAAAGGGCUGAGUUCCCAGGCAAAAAACUGCCAGAGUGCCCUACCGACUCUCGGCAGGGGUGCUAGCCCAGCAGGCACCAGGCCUUGGCAGGAAGGGGCACCUAUUGACGAGUGAACUCUGUUACAAGCCUGCUUCCAUUAUGGAAACACUCUGGUAUUGGAGAGGGGUGGGGAUGGCCUAUGGGAGAAGAUGGCUGGAGGGGUCAUACAGAAGCGGCAGCAGGGUGCAGUGAUGAGAGCAGGGAACAGGUUAUACUGCAGCCCUGCCACUGAGUGGUAACGUGAUCCUGGCCAGGUCACUCUCCCACCUGGUGCCUCACUUUCUCUAUCUUUGAAAUGGGGAUCAUCCUGUCCCACAUUAAGAAAGUGUUUGAUCCUCUGCUUUUGCUUCCCAAAUCCCUGCCCUCCUUGCCGCACACAGGCCUCUGCCCUGUUCCUCAAACUUCUGUGCCCAUGUUAGUGCCUGGGUCGCCCUGCAACUGCAAGGUCUCAUGUACAGUCUCCUGCCAGCAAACUGAAACCGCCCCUAGAUCCAGAAUAGGAAUCGCAGUUCAUGUGCACUUCCCUCAAUGGAGUAUAGACCACAGGCAUGAGGAAGGCCAACACUCACAUCCAGGUAGAUCAUCAACCUACUCCUCUGUCCCAGGAGCAGAAAGACCUCUGGUUCUUGCUCUCUGGGUAGCUGGAGCUGCUAAAUUGGGGGUGUGGUGGGCCAUUGGGCCACCCGUGGUCAGGCCUGUCAGUGCAGAGCAGCAUUUAACCAGUUACCAAUCCAUGAGAGUACCUUAUGAUGUAUGUGUAUAACACAAUUCUUCAUUGAAUCAGUUGAUUCAAUUGCUUAUUCUUUGGGGUUCAGACCCUCUGUUCUCUUCAGCUCUUCCCAUCUCUCUCAUGUCUGAGCGGUUCUGAGGAAUUCAUUACGACUCCUCAGGGGAAGGGCUUUCAGGCCUUGAGCCUUCUCUCAGGAUCCUCCUCAUUGUGGUUCCAGAGCUCUGCAAAUCAGGUUUGUUCAGGAAGACCUAUUUUCCAUGAAACCAUGGUGACUGUCAUUGAUUCUACUUCUAUUCUUGCUUCAUUGUUCAUUGAAUCCCCUACCAACUUUUAUAUUAUUUUGCCGGGGACUGACAUCAGGUUAACCAGCAUAUAAUUUUCCAGGUCAUCCCACUUGCAUUUUUUAAAUAUUGGUACAACAUUAGUUCUUCCUCUCUGCUGUAAUUUCCCCACCAUUUCAAGAUUUAUCAAUAAUUAACAUCAGUGUCUCAGAGAAUGCCUCAGACAACUUUUUUAGAACUCUUGGCUGAAAGCUAUAUGAGCUGGUUAUUUAAAAUGUUUAUCACUAUAAGAUAUUGUUUAAGUCCUCCUUAGUUAUCAUGUGUCCUAAAGAUGAACAGUUCCAUAUCCCAUUACUCCCAGCCUGAGACAGGCAGUGCCUCCUAUUUCCCCCACACCCCCCCAGCCCUGGGCACUCCUUUCACAGCUGCCCAUCCAGAAUCCCUCACAACUAUUCUGUCAUAUCCUGUAGUCAUCAUAUUACCCAUUUCCUGGUGGGGGCCAGGGCUCUUCUUUGGGGACCCAGGACAGUUUGUAUUGGGAUCUUGGGUCUUCAUCCCAUCCCAUCCCAUCCCACCUUCUCCUGGAUACCAGGGGAAAGAAUUGUGCCCAGGCCUGGAA